rnacentral:rRNA from 1 species
UACGGAGGGGCUAGCGUUGUUCGGAAUUACUGGGCGUAAAGCGCACGUAGGCGGAUCUUUAAGUCAGAGGUGAAAUCCCAAGGCUCAACCUUGGAACUGCCUUUGAUACUGGGGAUCUUGAGUCCGGGAGAGGUGAGUGGAACUGCGAGUGUAGAGGUGAAAUUCGUAGAUAUUCGGAAGAACACCAGUGGCGAAGGCGACACACUGGCUCACUACUGACGCUGAGGCGCGAAAGCGUGGGGAGCAAACAGG